AUCAAGGAAGUUUUUAAAAUAUUACAUUGUGGUUGUAAAGAGGUAAAUAUACCCUUGGUA
rnacentral:tRNA from 1 species